UAUUUAUUUGUGAUUGUAUUUUAGGUUUUGAUAUUAUUUUGUUUGUGCUUGGAGCAUUCAACCCCAAAGGAUGUUCUGUAUUCUUCAAAUUACAUAAAUGUUAAUGGAACCAUUAAGCUCUUAUAUGGACAUGUCGUGAACAAUAUGAAGGAUGUAGAUAUGGUUCGCAUCCUAAUGAACGAGCUAAUAUUCGGUAAAAACAAAUUCAUUUAUUUAGCUCGUUAGGACUUGCUCCAUUAUUGCGGCAUGGUAGAAAUAGGCUAUAUGUGCAUCCUAGCAUACAUUACAUAUCUUUGGGAUGAAUGUGAUUGUGGAAGCAAGUUUUUUGUUAUGACCAAGCAAAAAUAACAUCACAUAUCAAGGAUCGUGAUCUCCGAUCCAGAAAUUUUGCCAACCAGUUAGAAGCGGCUACCUUGGAACAAAUAGUUCUAAUUCCGUAUAAUACUGGGUAAAUAAAUAAGAUUAACACAUUAUUAUGUUUUUCAUUGAGGUUAAAUGUAUACUCACAUUGAAGAUGUUUAUUGUAGUUUUCAUUGGAUGUUGCAUGUCAUCGAUCUUCGAGAGAACUGUGUUUAUGUUUUGGACUCUCUUCAAAGUAAAGUUAACGAAGACAUCCAUGGAGUCA